rnacentral:rRNA from 1 species
GUCAGCAGCCGCGGGAACACCGGCGGCCCGAGUGGUGAUCGUGAUUAUUGGGUCUAAAGGGUCCGUAGCCGGUUUGGUCAGUCCUCCGGGAAAUCUGAUAGCUCAACUAUUAGGCUUUCGGGGGAUACUGCCAGACUUGGAACCGGGAGAGGUAAGAGGUACUACAGGGGUAGGAGUGAAAUCUUGUAAUCCCUGUGGGACCACCUGUGGCGAAGGCGUCUUACCAGAACGGGUUCGACGGUGAGGGACGAAAGCUGGGGGCACGAACCGGAUUAGAUACCCGGGUAGUCCCAGCCGUAAACGAUGCUCGCUAGGUGUCAGGCAUGGCGCGACCGUGUCUGGUGCCGCAGGGAAGCCGUGAAGCGAGCCACCUGGGAAGUACGGCCGCAAGGCUGAAACUUAAAGGAAUUGGCGGGGGAGCACAACAACGGGUGGAGCCCUGCGGUUUAAUUGGACUCAACGCCGGACAACUCACCGGGGGCGACAGCAAUAUGUAGGCCAAGCUGAAGACUUUGCCUGAAUCGCUGAGAGAAGAGGUGCAUGG